CACACCCGGGCUGACUCCUUCCCUCACACGCCUACUAUCCACUUUCGCCUGAGACCGCAGCCAGCGCAGGGCUCAGUUUUUUAUUUGAUUUUUUAUUUGCCUUGCUUGCUUUGGGUCUUUCCCUCUUGUACAGCGAGACGAGUCCCAUUUCACCCCUCCUCUGCCCCUUAAAACAUAGGCCCUGGAUUGUCCCUGCAUCAGACUGCAUGCUACCAAUUGAUUUGUGCAUCUACUCCUCCCUAUUAUUUGAGCUCUUUAUAUUAAAAAUUGCUCUCUAGCUUUAAUGUAAAAUUCGGUUCAUUUUGAGUAAUUUUUUUCACAUACCCAUUCUGGAAGAGAGGACGAAGAAAAGAAGAGAACGCUCACGGAAUGGACAGAUGAAAGGGGACAGCAGAAAAAAAGAGUGAGAAAAUGGAGAGCAUGUUCUGUGGGAGAGCAAGAGAGACCUGACCUAUGCACCCAACAUUGCCAAUCCCAUUCCAUGUAGCCCAAGACCUGAAAAGAAUGCUGUGGUCUACUCUUGUCUUGAGUCCGUGGAAACUUCCCACUAAGGAGUAACAAUGGAAAGAAUUUCAGUCCAGCCUAAGUAAGGUAACAUCUCUGGCAAGUUUGGAGGUUUAGAGAUGAGCCAUUAUGAGGUGGAGCCAUUCACCAACCCAACACACAACACAAUUAUAUGGUAUCCAAACUAGUGGCAGAUUGACUCUUUCUUUCAGGGAUCGUCAUAAGACAAUGACCCAAAACACACCUCCAGGCUGUGUAAGGGCUAUUUGACCAAGAAGGAGAGUG